AUUGAGUGUACAAUCAUUGCUGCGCGGCUUGAUACAAACAAGAAUCAAAUUUUAAGGCUUAAUUGUAGAUAAGAAGUGGGUUGGUAUAUGUUGUUUGUGGAGCGUGUUGUGUGUGUAGUAUACAAGUCGCAAAUUGGUUAAAAUAUGUUUGAAUGGGAUUAAUGAUCGUAAAAUACAGGCCAAACUGCCCCCUCGUGAAGGAGUGCUGCUGUAAUAGCAUUCUUGAGCCUGCUGUUUCUCUACGGAUGUAAACUGCUGCUGCACAGCUGGAAUAUUGGAAGAUACACUAACAUCUAAACUGGAGGUCAGGCGCUCAGAAUUUCUGGAACAACAACUCUGUCUGCAAUUUGGAGGAGAUUCUUUACCACGGAUUAUCUGUUACUCAAAAACGAGUGAAGAUUCCGCUGUGCAGACCUGGAGAAAGAUUACUUCACUGCUUGAAGAUGAUCAACUUGGAGAUAAUUAUUUCCCGUUUGUUCCAAGGAAUCUGAAUUUUUUAGUAAAUUAUAUCACUGAAGUAGUUCGACCAGUUUUGUACAUGAGUUUGAGGUCUUGUGAAGACAGCUAGGCAGGAUGAAUGAGAGCAACAAUGUUUAUUUGAGGUGGAGUAAGCAUCAAGCUACUUUGGUGUCUGUUUUUGAUGGUCUGUUGGACAGUGAGAAGUUAACAGACUGCACAGUUAGUGCUGAGGGGCAUCAUUUAAGAGCACACAAGAUAAUUCUCUCGGCCUGUAGUCCAUAUUUUGACGAACUGUUCUCUGAAAACUGUGAAAAGCACCCAAUUAUUAUUUUGCAUGAUGUAAAAUACAAUGUGCUUAAGGCUUUGCUGGACUUUAUGUACCGUGGUGAACUAAAUGUACCGCAAGAGCAGCUUAAUGAUAUUCUUAAACUCUCGGAUUCCCUUCGGGUAAGGGGACUGUCUGGCAGUGGGUGUGUGAACAACGUCGACAUGCAGAAAAGAAGUGAAAGAAAUGCACGAUCAGUGUCUCCAGGAACACACUCGUCGCAACCUGCAUCUGUGUCAUGCUUUACCUCGGUUCAGAAUGAGCGAGGAGAACACGUGCAGUCAUUUAGAGAAAGCCCUCCACGUGUGUCUUCCCAAGAAGGAGGUUCUGUGGAAGUGGACUCCAUUUCUAAAGCUGUUCAAAAGUCCAGAAAAAAUAUCAAUCACACUGGUGCUGAUGAGGGAACAGCUCAAAAUGCAUUUGAAGUCAUUACGCCUGAUGUUGAUAGUGUGGAUAAACUUCCAUCUCAAAAGAAAGUACUGGCCACAACCCAUAACUCAACUGUUGGACCAGUUGACAGCUCAUCUCAGGUGCUAAAAACCUUGCUGCCUGUAAGCAACACCACUGUAUGUUCGUCAUCAUACACUCUGAUUCCUCAUCAGUCGUCAAGUAGGGAGUUGCAAAACUCUAGUGGGGAAAUGACCAUUGCGAAAAAUGAACGGUUUUUAAUACCGGAAGCAGUAUUACCUGAUGAAAGGUCAGAAAGUCUUAGUGCACACCAGGUUGAGGUAUCUCUAGAAACAAAACCAGAGGCCCUUGAGACUAAUGUGGAAAUUGUAGAAGACCUUACUCUCGAUGACGAAGAUGAUUAUGCUGGUGCCGGUGAUUAUCGUGAUGUUUGUAACAGUGUUGAAGUUGACAUUGGGGAAGUCACGAGAGCGAGUGAAGAUCUUACAUACGAAGAGAUUUUUUGCGCUCAGGAAGUUAAUAAUACGUGUUCACCAUUUGGCAGUGUUGAUUUGAGUAACGUGUCUCUGUCAGCAUCUCAGAUAGUAUUACGUAAUCGGUUUAUUUGUCAUUCUUGUGGGAAGUCUUACCAGCAUCAAUCAGGGCUGUGGAGACAUGCGAAGUUCCAGUGUGGCAAAGAACCGCAGUUUCAGUGUCCUCGCUGCAAUUAUCGCUGUGCUAGGAGUGAUCAUUUAAAAAAACAUAUGGCUUCUCUUCGUUGCCAGAUGCAGAAAAAAUAUGCUCUUUUUGGAGCGGAUGUGUAAUAAGAGCCUAACACAAAGAAGGGGCAAAUGGUGUCAAGUGACUUCCUGGUCUUUAGUGAGGGCUUUUUGUGAGGGAUUUGUGCCAUCUGUGGAAGUGUGUAGUGUAAGUUGCAUGAAGCAUUGAUUACUUUGCACUGUGUGGGCAGAAAUUAAUCCUUGUGUAAAUUGUGGUUGCUAUGAGUAUAUUUUAAAUUUAUGUGGAAACUUGGCAACAUCAAUGUCAUUGAAGUCCUGGUUUGCUUUGCGAAACAGAUGACUUGUGAUGUAAUGUAGUAAUUGUGUCAGUGAAGGUCACCUAUUGUCAUCAGUUAGGUUGUUUGUCAUGAACAGAAAAUUGUUUGUGCGGUGAAGACCUUAAUUAUGUGAGUGCACAUCAAGAAAUGUUGAUAUGAGUGUAUUACAGAAUUCUAACAGUUGUAAUAUCCCCUUGAAGUACCAGCUGAUAAUUAUGCCAACACCUAUAAUUUCUUGACUUAUUCCUCCAGAUUAAUUCUGACUGUCCAUUCUGUUUCUUCUCAUUUCCUCCUUAAACUUCUCCAACUUUCCCACUUGUAACUGUGUUUAACACUCGAUAGUCAUGUUCAUAAUCCUCCUUUUCUUCCUUGUUUCAUUGUGGUCUCUCUCAGCAUAUCCCUCUUGAAUGUCCGAACAGGACUCAUCAUGCUGUCUAUGCAUCUAUCAGUGUUGUGAAAGAUAAUGAUCUCAGUUUGUAUUUGUAUGUGUUGCACUGUGUGAUUAGCUGUUUUAUUACUAUUUAUUUCACAGUAUGUUGACAUAUGCCUAAAUUUCAGUUUUAGAGAACCCUACUGUAUUUUAAAGAUUUUUACAGAAAUAACGUAUUGGGAAAACCUUAAUGUCGUGGUCAUAAUACCAAAAAUAAAAUACAAGUGAUAUUUUAUUUUAACAAGAGUACUGUAUUUCAAGUAAACAGAUAAACAAAUUUUUUAUUGUCUGGCUACACUAUUGGCGAUGAACACUAGGGACAGAUAUAAUGGAUACAAUCACCUCAGGAUGUGUGGAGCAGUUUAUAAUAGAUGUACCACAUAAAACUGAUUGUGGAUUAACGACGAGGGUGGGUGUGCUUGCCAGCCUGGAUUUGAUUUUAGCCAGUUUCCCUUGUUUUCACGUGGGACAACACUAGAAACAGCCAGAUGGGGUCCUCCCAUGUAGAUAAAUGAUGUAUGCUGGAUUAACACAUUGAAGAUGAAGUGCAAGUGUAGCUGAGGCGAGAAUGCUGUGUUCAAAACACCGAACCCUAGUAUAGCACAAGCCACAACUUUCACGAUGAGUUAGGAACCUGCCGCUCGAAAACUGGACUCGCUUCAUAAGAGGGCAGUAUACAGACAUCUUGCUACCUAUUCCUUGGCAGGUGCUGCCUUCUGUCAAUUUGUAGAAAUAUUUAGAAAGAAAUAUUAGCUAAUGUAACAUCUGCUCUUGCAAAUUUCUGAGCCAAAGUAACGGCAAUAACUUAAUUUCAUGAGGUUUGAAUUUCACUGUAAUUCUGCUAGAAAUAUAUCACAUUUGCUGAAUGAACAAGAAAUUUUGGAAGCUCAAGAGGAUGAAGUUGCUCAAACAAUUUGUAAUCUAUCAAAGAAAUAAAGGAAAUAUGAACAAUAAAUCUUCAAGUGUGGCAAUUUUUAGUCAGGCACUCAAAAUUUCUGGAACAGCAACUGUAACUGCAGUUUGAAGGAAGAUAUCUGACAUGGGUUAUCUGUAAUUCACAAGUGAUUGAAGAUUUGUCUGUGCAGAACUUUUGAGAAUCAUUACUUCAGUGGCUGAAGAUAGUCAACUUGCAGAAAAUUUUUUCCUUGUUGUUCCAAAGAAAUCGGACUUCGCUUGUAAGCGAUAUCACUGUGGUAUCUCAGUCAGCAUUAUACAAGAGUUCGAAGUCUCUUGAGGACAGCUAGAUAGGAUGGAUGAGAGCAAUAGGGUUCAGCUGAGAUGGAAUGAACAUCAAGUUACUUUAGUGUCUGUUUUUGAUGCCCUGUUGGAUACAGAGAAAUUAACGGACUGCUCUAUUUGUGCUGAGGGGCGACAUUUAAGAGCACACAAGAUAAUUAUUUCACCUUGUAGUCCAUAUUUUGAGCAGCUGUUCAUUGAAAACUAUGAGAAGCACCCAAUUAUUAUUCUGCAUGAUGUAAAAUACGAUGUGCUGAAGGCUUUGAUGGAUUUUAUGUACCGUGGUGAACUAAAUGUACCACAAGUGCAGCUUACUGGUGUUUUUAAGCUCUGAGUCCCUUCAAGUGAGGGGACUAUCCGCCGUGGACUUGUGGAUGAUGUCAAAAUGCAGAAAGGCUGUGGAAGAAAUGCACAGUCAGUACCUGUAGAAACUAUCACAUCCCAUCCUGCUUCUGUGUCACGCUUUACCUCAGGUCAGAACGAGCCAGAAGGGAUGGUGGAGAAUGCUCUCCACGUGUGUCAUCCCAGGAAGGAGGUUCUAUGGAAGUAGACUCCAUUUCUAAAGCAAUUAGAAAGUCGAGAAAAAAUAUUAAUCACUCUGGUUCUGAACAGGGAAUGCACCGAAAUGCACUUGAAGAAGUCAUUACUCCUGAUUUUGAUAGUGUGCAACUUCCAUCUCAAAGGCAAGUACUGCCCACAACCACUAACUCAACUGGUAGACCAGUUGAUAGCUCAUCUCGGGUGCUAAAAACAUUACUGUCUGGUAGCCACACCACUGUAUGUUCAUCGUCAUACACCCCAGUUCUUCAUCAGUCUGCAUGUAGUUAGUUGCAGAGCUCCAGAGGAGAAAUAGCUGUUAAAGAGCAAUUUUUAAUAGCAGAAGCAGUAUUAUCUGACAAAAGGUCAGCAAGUCUGAGUUCACAGCAGGAAGUGGUAUCACUAGAAACCAAACCUGAGAGCCUUGAGAAUAACAUGGAAAUUGCAGAAGACCUUACUCUUGACGACGACGAUGAUUAUCCUGGUGCCGAUGAUUAUCGUGAUGAUUGGAACGGUACUGAAGUUUGCAUUGGUGAAGUCGGAACAGUUAGUGAAAGUCUUACGUAUGAAGAGAAUUUUCACACUCGAGGAAUUAACAUUAUGAAUUCACCAUUUGGUGCUGAUAUUUUUGGUAAAAUGACUCAGGCUGUAUUAGAUAAUCGAUUUAGUUGUAAUUCUUGUGGAAAAUCUUAUAAGAAUCCAUCAGGUCUCCAAAGGCACACGAGGCUACAGUGUGGUAAAGAACCGCAUUAUCAGUGCCCUUGGUGCGACUAUCGGUGCGCUAGGAGUGAUAAUUUAAAAACACACAUGACUAUUUACCGUUGUCGGAUGCAGAAAAAGUGAGCAAUUUUUGAAGGGGAUGUGUGAUGAUAUGAACUUAACACAGAGAAAGGGAUGAGUGUUGUUGAAUGAGUUUCAGAUAAUCAGUGAGGACUUUUUUGUGACUUUUAUUUCAUCAGUGGCAGUGUAUAUGUGUAAAUUGCAUGAAGCAAUGAGUGCUUGUGCUGUGUUGGUAUAAAUUCAUCCCUGUAUAAAUUUUUCUGCUAUGAGUACCUCUCUAAUUUAUGUGGAAACUGGACAGUCUCAUUGCAUGUGAAGUAAUUUUCCUCAAUAUCUAUGUAACUUGCUACGUAAUAAAAUAAUUAUACCUGCAUUGAUGUUAUAUCCUCAUCAGUUAUACAUUUUGUUGUAAACAUGAUAUUGUUUUGUGGGGAAGAUCUAAUUAUAUUACUUCUGAUGUUGUAUUGCUGGUGUGAAAACAUUAUAGAAUUUUGACAGCUGUAACAUGUUUGUGAAUUACUAUCUGAUAAUUAUGCCAAAAUUAAGAAUUUGUCAACCAUAAAUAUAUAUUGUGUUCUGCCAGAGUGAAAUAAGAUGAAUGGACUCAUUAAACUUUUUGUAGGAAAGAUAGUUUUGUGGUUUGAGAUUUUUUUGCACUUUUUUCAUAUUUGCUAUCAGAAAAUAACUAUAACUUCAUAAAAAAGAAUGUGUAUUUUUUACUGUCAUUUAUUCUCUGGUUCUGUUCUCCACUUGAAACCUCCAUAGCU